AUGCACUCGUCAUUCAUCGUUGACAGUGAGACAUUCCAUGCUCACCGAGCGGUGCUUGCUGCCCGCUCACCGGUCUUCAGAGCAGAGCUCUUUGGUUCAAUGUCGGAGGCUACAAUUUCGUCCAUCAUGAUGCAUGACAUCACACCUACAACAUUCAAACUUAUGCUCCGGUUCAUAUAUGCAGAUGAAUUGCCCAUGGAAUAUGAGCAUGAGGACUCUUCUACUGAGAAGUUCCAGGACCUGCUUGCUGCAGCUGAUCGGUAUGCACCGAACCGACUAAAGAUUAUUUGCGCCCAGAAGUUGUGGGAGAAAGUGUCUGUAGAUACAACUGCAACUAUCUUAGCUUUUGCCGAAACCUACAACUGUUGGGAGUUGAAGAAAAAGCGCAUUGACUUCUUUGUAGUGGACGAAAAUUUCAAGAGGGCUAUGUUCACUGAUGGUUAUGCAUUGAUGCUUCUGAAAUUCCUAGAGGUUGUUGCUGAGCUAAAAAGAGGAUUUAUGAGAUAA
rnacentral:rRNA from 1 species